GACGGAAGGUGCAAGCGUUGCUCGGAAUCACUGGGCGUAAAGGGUGCGUAGGCGGCCGUGCAAGUCUGGCGUGAAAGCCCCGGGCUCAGCCCGGGAAGUGCGCUCGAAACUGCGCGGCUCGAGUGCCGGAGGGGAGAGUGGAAUUCCUGGUGUAGCGGUGAAAUGCGCAGAUAUCGGGAGGAACACCAGCGGCGAAGGCGGCACGCUGGGCUGGUACUGACGCUGAGGAGCGAAAGCGUGGGUAGCAAACAGG
rnacentral:rRNA from 1 species